GGUAAAUAGAAUAGCUAUUUUUUUCUAUUUAUAACGCGCAUAUUUAUUGCUAGUUUACAACCUUGUCAUGUUAAGCAAGGCUAUCUUUAUCUUUUAAAGAAAAAGAAAAUAAAUGAAAUAGAAAUAAAGAACAAAUAUUAAGCUAAUUCAUUCAUAAACUUCAAAAGAAAAAAAAAGCUCCAAAAGCAGAGGCAAAAAUCGUCAUUUCUAGACUGGUUGCCAACUAAAACCAAACAAGAAGAAAUUUUUUAUGUUAAGAAGUUCGUAUAUAUCUAUUUUAAAACUUCUUUCUUGCUUUAGACCCCCCCCCCCCCUUCAUUAUUCCUGACUCAGCAGAUCUUCCUUCAAUCAACGGGCGCGGGCGGGCCUGCGCAUGCGCACUGAGUGCCACUGAUCGCUGUCGUCAGUAUAAUUAUGCAAAUUAACCAGCCGCCAAACUUAACGCAAACCGCCAAUCUAAUUUGAAUUUGAAAUAGCCAUCUUCGCCGCGCCGUUAAUUUGCAUUGCACUUUUAUCGAGAGCGAUAAAGAAGGGUAAAGAAGGCCGUUUUAAUAAUAAUUCAACCACUGAAAUCACACGGACCAGAUUUGGACAAUGACUUGAAAGCUAAGACAUUCGCAGUAGGCUCUACAGGAGAGAGGGAGACCCAAAACCACCUGGAGUCAUACUGAGCCUCGAGGAGGAGAUGAAGUCAGUGAACAUGACCUGGGGGGCCGCUGGGGUACCGGUAGUUUCCAGAAGAAGGCCCAGCUCAGAACCGCCAGGAGUGGAGAUCCGAAUACUUCGUUGCUGCCCUCCAUGCGAGGAGGCUGUAAGUUAGAUACAUCGCAUCUACCAGCAAAGAAUGUGUGCCAGUACAGGAAAGGAAUGUACCUGUCGCACAUGAACUCUUCAGAGGCAGUGAGGACAACAAGAUCUGCAAGCAAGUGAUCCUUUUUAUACAUUGCAUCUACCAGCAAAGAAUUUGUGCCAGUACAGGAAAGGAAUGUACCUGUCGCACGUGAACUCUUCAGAGGCAGUGAGGACAAGAUCUGCAAGCAAGUGAUCCUUUUUAUACAUCGCAUCUACCAGCAAAGAUCAAGUGCCACUACAGGAAAGGAAGGUACCUGUCUCACGUUUCCUCUUCAGAGCCAGUGAGGGCCCCAAGAUCUCAAUAAAUAAUAAUUAAAAAAAGACUCCUUUAUCAUUCCUUUAAAAAUAGUACAUAUUGAAGGUAAAUGCUUAGAUGCAUUAUAUUCAAAUUUUGUCUCCAAGCUAGCUUGUAAAAAUUGGAUUGACUACAUAUUUACUGUGUAAGUUAAUGAUCUUUGUUGACACAUAAUACAAGAAUUAUACACAGCAUGUUACAGUUUGUAACAUAAUUUUCUUUCAUUAAAUUCCCAGUUUCAAUACCAUAUAGAUGUUUUUUGUGACUUGUCAUUCUCUGAUGUUUUUUGGUACAGAUUUCAAGAGACUGAGGGAUUGAUUUACCAGAGCAAGUUUACAGUCCAAUCCUGUUAUAUUGUGCAUGUGGAAAUUAACAAGGUUUCAAUACAAUGCUACAAAUUUACCUUGUUUCAUUUCAUCAGUCCUAUGUGCAAGGAUAAUUAUUUCACUUGUCCAUGCACAUUGUUAUAACAGGAGUGGACAUU